rnacentral:rRNA from 1 species
UACAGAGGUCCCGAGCGUUGUUCGGAUUCACUGGGCGUAAAGGGUGCGUAGGUGGUGAGGUAAGUCGGAUGUGAAAUCUCCAAGCUCAACUUGGAAAUGGCAUUGGAAACUACCUUGCUGGAGGUUUGGAGGGGGGACUGGAAUUCUCGGUGUAGCAGUGAAAUGCGUAGAUAUCGAGAGGAACACCAGUGGCGAAGGCGGCUACCUGGACGGCUAUUGACGCUGAGACGCGAAAGCGUGGGGAGCAAACAGG